rnacentral:lncRNA from 1 species
CCCACAAUGAAAAUAAAUUCUGCCUGCUUAAUUGUUCUGCUUGGGGCCACGCUCAGCUGAGUUCAUUGUGCAGCUUAGUCCACUAGCUGAUGUUUUGCAGAUUUCCUACAUGUGUGCUGCACUGGGACCAGUCACGCAGAAAGACUGGCUAGACUUUCAGUCUCGGGAGAAUAGAUCCAAGCAUAAGUGGUAAAUUUGAAGGUGGCUUGGUUAAUGCUAAGUCAACCUGGAUAGUUUAAUUGCCAGGAAAUAGGGAGGUAAAACCAAGUCGAAGAGUUGUCUAUUGACAAUGGGACCAGGAUCAACGACCCCUGAGAUUUCCAGGAGUCAAUAUAGUUUCACAUCAACAGGAGUUAAGAAUCGUAUCCUUGGAGAUUACGUGGCGCCAAAAGAGCGAAGGUGGGAAGUUCAGCGUUAAAGAGUCUCUCCAGCCUGGAGAAUGAGCAGCAGUUCCUAAAGGAUUAUGCUAUCUUCUGAUCAACUUUUGACAUUUGACUUAAAAUUUUAAACUUGCAUAAGUAAUUGCAUGCACACAAUAAAAUAUUCAAAAGGUUCAAACAGGUGUAUAAUGAAAGGGAAGUCCUUCUCCAAGCCCUCAGUUAUCUUCCUCAGAAGAAACCACUGUCCCAGCAGCUCUGAAUCCCCCUUCCAGAGAUAUUCCCUGUGCCUGAGCACAGUGCCUGUGUAUAAUUACAACUGUUUAAUAUACAAAUUGUAUCUUACUGGUUUGCUCUUUCUUUUCUA